rnacentral:tRNA from 1 species
GGAAGGAUGGCAGAGCGGUUUAUUGCGGCAGUCUUGAAAACUGUUGAGGGUGCAAGCCCUCCGGGGGUUCAAAUCCCUCUCCUUCCGCCA